GGGUCGAUGCCCGAGUGGUUAAAGGGAUCGGACUGUAAAUCCGAUGAUGUAUGUCUACGCUGGUUCGAAACCAGCUCGGCCCA
rnacentral:tRNA from 1 species